rnacentral:lncRNA from 1 species
GUUGAUCUGAAUGUGAUAUUACGCAGUUCAAGGAACUCAUUAUUUGUCUCCAGUUUUCUUUCUAUGCUUUUGUCGGUUGAAAACUAUGAUAAUUCUGCUCUCAAAACUGCACUCAUGGAAAAAUGGAAGAAAUUUUUAACAUGACUAAUGCUGGCUCUCAGUUUUUGAUGUACACAGACCCUGUUUCAACUUACUUUCUUGACAAUCAGGCCAAGUUCAAUCUUGUUGUCGUAAUUAUGUGCUCAGCCGUUCAAAUUCUAAAACGUUAUGACAACAGAACUUUUCUAGACUAUAUAACGCAGUUUAGCUGGAUGGCAAUCCUUUGUUUGCAGGCCUCUUAUAUUUUCAUCAAGUCUUCAUUGGACAUCAGGUCAAUUCAGAUUUUAAUUCUCGCCUUAAUUUUUACUGCAUCUCUCUGGAAGUUUGUUUAUUUCAAGUUCUUUUUCUUCAGACAAAGGGAAAGCUCACCCAAGUCGAAAAAAACUUCUCCCAUGACAGUUCCGGUCUCUUUAGAGUCUGCCAAAAUUCACCCAAGCUCACCUCUGAAAAUUAGUUUGGAAGGUAUGCCUCAGCCAACCCAAAGAGACAACACAAAAAUGAAGUCUGGUUUUGAUCAGAACCUGGAAAAUGGUCUUGGUAUUGGAUCCCUAAAUCUUGGACCGAGUCAAUCAACUCCGUCAAACCGAUUCUCAAGGAAUGUUUUCUCCGUUAGCCAUGACAGUUUUCCCUCGAAACGCAAACCUCUCAUUUUACCUUCAAGGCUAAAUAUCAAUUUGAAAAAUGAGCUAAGUGAAAUCAACUUGCCGUUUUCACGGCCAUCUAGUCAAAGCUCAGGUUAUGAGACAAUGAACAAGUCAGGUUUCGAUUCACAAAAUGGCUCCAUAACGGGUGACGAAGACUACGAUGUUCCUCUUAAAAGCAGUCUUCCAUUGCAAGUGUCAAAUUACAGGAUGAGUCCACCCUUCAUGCCCCCUGCUCCAUCACCAUACGAACUCUACACUUAUUACCACUUCACUGCCAAGUUUCAAGCCUCAUAUGGAGGACAAUCCCCUCACAAUUUAUCAUCCUGCUCGUCUUGUGUGGGAAGCACAGCUCCCUUGAACUCAAAUAAAUGGUUCUUAUUAGUUUUUCUAAUGUUUCUGUUCAUAGUCUUACAAGAAUCUUUCAUUCUUUACUCAUUAUUGAAUCGAUGAUGAAGAUUUUAAUUAGUGUAAGAUAAUCACUGUACUGCCAUCAGCCAGAUGCCAACCACGCAUCUAUGCCAAUUUAACGUUAAUGUUAUUGUAAAUGUUCCCUUUUAUUUUUUUUGCUUGUAAUCAAUCCUUGUAAAUAAUUCCGUUUAAAACAUUAAAAGGAAAACUUUUUCACCCAGAAAAACAUCCUGUUCAAUAUAGGUGUACGUAUUCUUUUCGUUUUUGUUGAGCUCUCAUGAGGUUCAGAAUUUGAAUGAUAGCAGUCAAUACUGAUUUAAAUUACAGGUUACAAUCAUUGCAAAUAGGACUUAAAAUCUUCUAUGAGGGAAAAUUUCUCUGCAAUCCAUCUAUAAAAUCUUGGUCACUGUUGGGGUGGUUCCACUUUCUACAAAUGAUGCGAAGUUUUUCAUGGGAAUGUGUUAGUUUUUGCUCUGCAUUUCUAAUUUGCAAAUCAGACGAGGCAAAAAGGCAAUCAGGCAAUAAAAAAAUUGAUGCAAGAAAAUCAGCACUAAAGUAAGUUAACAGACAGUAAAAACAAACAAAAACAUAUAUCUUUGAGGAAGAUUUUUUAUUUGCUUGAUGCAAUUUAUUUACUCAAGGUGAAAUUUUCUCAACAAGAACAACAUUGUCAAUGCUGGACACUUUUGCUUGAAAGCAAAGAAACUCAUCUUCUAGAAUAUGAUUAUUGAAAUUUCGUAGUCCUAGAAACUGUAAUUCAAAAGAGGUCCCAUUUUUUAAAAUUUAUCUCUGUGUACCAUAGGUACCAUAGGUGCUCUCAGAGCUGAAAGAAUGUUUUAUUGUUAUUGAUACAUUGGCACAUUUGUUCUUAAGUAUGUUCACGUUAUGUACUGAUGUGCUGAUAAAUUUUUCUAACAGAGAAUAAUUUCAAUUGAACUCUGGUACUCUCACAUGGCCAUUUGAUUUUUAAUACAAUGGAAAGUAAUGAGAACACUGUGUGUAAUAGGUAAUUACAGCAUUUAAACACUUCAAAGCACUUCUAAACGAGACAUCUUAUUAUGAUAACCAAUGCUUAGAGAUUGUAUUAAUUGUAAAGUCAGCAGAAUUUUUUACCAGUCCUCAGUUCAGCAGAUUUUUAAGCAGUCAAAAAUAAAAUGGACCGAUUUAACUAAAAUUACCCCAAUUUCUCAAGACAUUGCCUAAUUUUUCUCAAUGUUUCAUUUUUUAAGCAGAAAACUAAGGGGCAUUGAAACUUGAAAUGGAGUUUUUACAUGUGUCAGGUAUUUGCAUUUAAAGUACUUUCUCUGAUUUAAAAUUUUUCGAGAUACACAAUGGUGCCACUGAUUUUCUCCAAAAUCAACUCCUAAGCCUAAAAAAAGCUCUCUAAGUUCAGGCCAUGAUCAAGUGGAUAUCCCACUUUAUGCUGAGAGUUCACCUCCAUAUCCAGUCAAACUCUCUAUGCAUAGAUAGAGAGCAAAUACAUUAAGAGGGUUGCCACUUUGUUUAGGAACUCCAAAGUUGAAACCAAGGGAACCCUACUAAUGUAUUUGCUCCCUAUCUGUGCAUGGAGAGUUUAACUAGAUACAGGGGUAGGCUCUCAGCAUAGCACUGGAUAUCUCCUCCAUUACAGCCUGAAUUUUGAGGGCUUUUUUUGAGCUUAGGAAUUUAUUUCAGAGAAAACAGUGGCACCAUCGUGUUUCUUGCGAAAUUUCACGUCAGGCAAAGUAUUUAAAAUACGAAUGCCUAAUAUACGCAAGAAACUCAUUGUAUAUGAGCAUAUUCUUCAAUAUCACAGAAAGUUUGAAGGCUUUAAAUACUUCAGUGCUGUUUUAAAAAUUAAAACAUUAGAGAAAAUUUAAGUCCGUCCAAAUCUAUUUCUGAGGCACUAAAAAAAAUAAUAAUUGAUUUAUGUACUUAGCUUGACAUCAUCAAAAAGUUAUGAAAAUGAUUUGACAGCCUUUUUAUUCAGAAUUAAAUAUUUAUAAUAUUGACAGAAAAGACUAGCCUUAUAGUUCUUACCUCUAAUUCCCACUGAAAAUCUAGAAAAUUUAGAAGACUUUAGGAACUUAAAUUGAGGAGCCUCUCUCCCAACUCCAGCUCAUUCCAUUCUGGAUAUACUUUUGGGGAGAACAGGUCUUUAUUGAAGUUCAUUGGUAGUUGUUGAGGUGCCUAGUAGACUCAUGAUGUUACAAUUUAUUUGUGGGCUUAUGAGGUGUUGUGAAAUAAAUUUUCCAAUAUGUACUUGUUGCACACAAAAAUUUAUUUUCUCACAAAGGAAUCAUUCAAGUGACAAACUCAUACUUUUGUGUUGUUUUCCUCUCACAGGAGGAAACCAUUGUGACUCGAGUUUUGUGUCAUGAGUCAAGCGGUAAAUUCUAAGUAUUAAAUUGGAACAGGAUCAGAUACAAUCAGUUUUGACUUGUGUUUCCUUCCUACCAUGGCUACAUAUUCUUGAGCUGGCUGACUUUUCAACGACAUUGGAACAUAGUCCGAUUCUUCUUCUUUUGUGGUUUUUCUUCACCGCUCUGAAAUUUUUUCACAAAAAAUCUCAUUAGUAAUUGCAUGUCAAACCAAUGUUCACUGAAACUCUGAUUAGUUGAGAAAAUCAAUAUGGCUCAUAAAAUAAAUUUUACUUUCAGAAAAGGUUUGCAUGUUCUCGCUCCGAACGCCAUCACACCUGUAUACUGUUUGCAAAAGUAAAUUUGGUUGCCUUGAACCUCAAUUUGCUAAUCAAAGCACUUGUAGAUUCACCUUGUCAGAUUCAUGUCAGUAGGCUAUUGAGAAGCAACUCAAGGAUUUUCAUCCUUGGACAAAGCUAUGUCCAUGCACAGGCUUUGCGUGUUUAUUGCACAUCAAUUGAAAAAAUUAAACAAUAUCUACUCCAGUUUUGCAUGAUAAAUAUGUAAUGUUAAUGCAUUGAAACAAAACAAUAUUUCUUCACUCAAUUUUGCUCGAUGACUUCAACCCUUUGAUACUCCUGGAUUUUUCAAGAGCAUUUUCAUAAAGUUUCUGAGACUGCUUAGUAAACUGUUGAAUAAUAUCUGUGGAUUAAAAAUGCUUUCAAAAUAAAUAGUCUUCUACUUUGUAAAUAAAUAAUAAUAGUAGAAAAAGUGAAACGUCAACUAGUUUCAGUAGUGAAUUAUUGCAGUUAAAAGUGCCUUAUUAAGAAUGUAAUAGAAAAAUAACAAGAAAUUGAAAACAGCUCAAUGAAGAAUCAGUGACAAUUUUCAUAAUGCAAGAAAGUCUUGGCAUGUCUCAUUGUAGAUUGCUCUCCGCUAUGAAUCUCUCCUCUAGAGCUGUGCAUCAACAAACAAUUCUCUCCCCACCCCUAUCUUUUUAAUACCUUUUUAAGUCCCCCUUUUUGAGUGUGUUGCAAGGAGACAUAUAGGCUGACAGCACUGGAAAGUGAUAAUAUACUUACGUGCUUUUUUUGAUCAAAGGACUCCUAGGUGGCAGAGGUGGGGGUUGAGGGCAAGUCUGAGGAGGAGGGACCGGCUUGUCGUCAAUCUCCUCGUAGAUGCCUGAUGUUAGGCUGGUCAUUGAGUUGUUGGACACCUUGCGCGGAAGUCGCUCAUAGAUAUUGCCUCGACUUCUUUCGUCUGACUCUGUUUGGGACUGAGUCUCAGAGUCUUUGUCUUUGUACAGGUUCUCUAGGUUAUGGACUAUGAACUGAGGUGCAGGUACAGGGACCGGUAGGACAGCAUGGCACUGAGCUAAAUUUGUCAUAGAACCUGGCACGCUUGACCCUGGUGUUGUCAUUAAGAGCCCGACGCUUGCAAAUAAUAGAUUGUUCGUACUCUGCAAUAAACCAUUACUCAUUACAUUCUUGACCCUCACGUUAUUUGAAGCUUUUAGGAAAUAGCACCAUGAUGCAUGGAAGGAAAAUUGUAAUGAUCCAAAAUUAUUUCUUUCAAAAGUCGCAGAAAAACCAGGAUUGGAGGGGUGAGAGCCUUUCCGACUCACCCCUCCAACCUUAGUAAGUAAAAAAAUAUAAUUUUAAGUAAUAAAUGAAUUAUAAAUACUAAAAAUAUACAUAUCGACGGUGUAAGUCGGCAAUCACAUAACUCGGUUUGCGACGUCGCAGACUUCCUGUCAUACUUUAUUUUUUAAACGGAAAACUACUCAACGGCAAGUCAUCAAAACUGCCGUGAUUUUUCUUCUCUGCGCGAAGAAAAUUCUGCAAAAACUUCGAGGAAUGAUGUCAGUUUGUUCUCCUUUAAAAAAAUACCAAAGAGGCGGAGAUUUUCAGACCCCGCAAACGAGUUAUGUGAUUGUCGACUUACACCGUCGAUAUGUAGCUAUAUCAAACUUAAUGAACUCAUUUACACAUCAUCCAAAUAAAUUAAUAAAAAUUAGUAUUACCUACAAAGAAAAUUAUUUGUAAAUAGAAGUAGGUAUGUAUACUAACAAAGGAAAACGCUGAUACGUUGCAAUGAACAGGGCCGGAUUAAGGGGGUGGCCACAUGGGCCGCGGCCCAUGGCGGCAAAUCUAUAGGGGGCGGCAAAUUUUGCAAUUUUUUUAAAUGUAGGUAGGUGUAAAAAAAAUUACAAACGAGAAAAGGCGACCAAAUCUCUAAUUUUCUGAGAGUAUAGUAAUUUCUACUUUUGUCGUCUUUCAGUGAUACAAGAGGCAGCAUCUUUAAUUAGUCGAGUUAAGAGAGAAUCCGAACACGCAAUUUGGCCUAGAAUGCGACUUACCUAGAGAGAAAUGAUGCCGAGGACUUGAGAUGAAAAGGAAAAGCCCUCGGCGCAGCGAUCGGCAUGUAACACAUAUUAGCGCCUACAAGACUGCACGAAUACUUCACGCAUUGCAUCAAACACAGUGCGGUGUGCGGUCAUUGCGGACAGCGUGAAACGGAUAGUGCCUACAAGAAUGCAUGAAUACCUCACGCAUUGCCCUGCUAAAAAUGGUGAGUACGAAUGAGUAU